rnacentral:rRNA from 1 species
AGCGAACGCUGGCGGCAGGCCUAACACAUGCAAGUCGAACGAACCCUUCGGGGUUAGUGGCGGACGGGUGAGUAACACGUGGGAACGUGCCUUUAGGUUCGGAAUAACUCAGGGAAACUUGUGCUAAUACCGAAUGUGCCCUUCGGGGGAAAGAUUUAUCGCCUUUAGAGCGGCCCGCGUCUGAUUAGCUAGUUGGUGAGGUAAAGGCUCACCAAGGCUACGAUCAGUAGCUGGUCUGAGAGGAUGACCAGCCACAUUAGGACUGAGACACGGCCCAAACUCCUACGGGAGGCAGCAGUGGGGAAUCUUGCGCAAUGGGCGAAAGCCUGACGCAGCCAUGCCGCGUGGAUGAUGAAGGUCUUAGGAUUGUAAAAUCCUUUCACCGGUGAAGAUAAUGACUGUAGCCGGAGAAGAAGCCCCGGCUAACUUCGUGCCAGCCGCCGCAGUAAAAC